rnacentral:rRNA from 1 species
AGAGUUUGAUCAUGGCUCAGAACGAACGCUGGCGGCGUGGAUAAGACAUGCAAGUCGAACGGGUCUAAUCUGGUAGCAAUGCUAGGUUGGGCCAGUGGCGAACGGGUGCGUAACACGUGAGUCAUCUGCCUGGAAGUGGGGGAUAGCUCGCCGAAAGGCGAAUUAAUACCGCAUGUGAUUGCAAAAUUAAAGCCGGGGCAGCCUGGCGCUUUCCGAGGAGCUCGCGGCCUAUCAGCUUGUUGGUAAGGUAACGGCUUACCAAGGCUUCGACGGGUAGCUGGUCUGAGAGGACGACCAGCCACACUGGAACUGAGACACGGUCCAGACACCUACGGGUGGCAGCAGUCGAGAAUUUUUCUCAAUGGGGGAAACCCUGAAGGAGCGACGCCGCGUGGAGGAUGAAGGCUUUCGGGUUGUAAACUCCUGUCAUUUGGGAACAAAGCCUUACGUUAAUUGCGUGGAGGUUUGAUAGUACCAGAAGAGGAAGAGACGGCUAACUCUGUGCCAGCAGCCGCGGUAAUACAGAGGUCUCGAGCGUUGUUCGGAUUCAUUGGGCGUAAAGGGCGCGUAGGCUGCGGGGCAAGUCGGGUGUGAAAUCUCAGAGCUCAACUCUGAAACUGCACUCGAUACUGCUUUGCUUGAGGACUGGAGAGGAGAUUGGAAUUCACGGUGUAGCAGUGAAAUGCGUAGAUAUCGUGAGGAAGACCAGUGGCGAAGGCGGAUCUCUGGACAGUUCCUGACGCUGAGGCGCGAGGGCCAGGGGAGCAAACGGGAUUAGAUACCCCGGUAGUCCUGGCAGUAAACGGUGCACGUUUGGUGUGCGCGGAUUCGACCCCGUGCGUGCCGGAGCUAACGCGUUAAACGUGCCGCCUGAGGAGUACGGUCGCAAGAUUAAAACUCAAAGAAAUUGACGGGGCCCGCACAAGCGGUGGAGUAUGUGGC